GGGCGAUUAGCUCAGCCGGUAAGAGCGCUUGCUUGACAUGCAAGAGGUCAGAGGUUCAAGUCCUCUAUCGCCCA
rnacentral:tRNA from 1 species